rnacentral:rRNA from 1 species
UACGAAGGGUGCAAGCGUUACUCGGAAUUACUGGGCGUAAAGCGUGCGUAGGUGGUGAGUUAAGUCUGUCGUGAAAGCCCCGGGCUCAACCUGGGAAUGGCGAUGGAUACUGGCUCGCUAGAGUGCGGUAGAGGAGAGUGGAAUUCCCGGUGUAGCAGUGAAAUGCGUAGAGAUCGGGAGGAACAGCAGUUGCGAAGGCGGCUCUCUGGACCAGCACUGACACUGAGGCCCGAAAGCGUGGGGAGCAAACAGG